rnacentral:rRNA from 1 species
CCUACGGGUCGCACCAGUGGGGAAUAUUGCACAAUGGGCGCAAGCCUGAUGCAGCCAUGCCGCGUGUAUGAAGAAGGCCUUCGGGUUGUAAAGUACUUUCAGUCGGGAGGAAGGUGGUGGGCCUAAUACGCUCAUCAAUUGACGUUACCGACAGAAGAAGCACCGGCUAACUCCGUGCCAGCAGCCGCGGUAAUACGGAGGGUGCAAGCGUUAAUCGGAAUUACUGGGCGUUAAGCGCACGCAGGCGGUUGAUUGAGUCAGAUGUGAAAUCCCCGGGCUUAACCCGGGAAUUGCAUCUGAUACUGGUCAGCUAGAGUCUUGUAGAGGGGGGUAGAAUUCCAUGUGUAGCGGUGAAAUGCGUAGAGAUGUGGAGGAAUACCGGUGGCGAAGGCGGCCCCCUGGACAAAGACUGACGCUCAGGUGCGAAAGCGUGGGGAGCAAACAGGAUUAGAUACCCCAGUAGUC